UAACCUAACAAAAGAAGGAUUUCUGCCAAGUUACCUGGGUUUUCUGAAUAACUCUAACAGUAGGCAUUUGAGUGGCAAUGUUUUCACCAACCAAUCCUGGAGCAAAGAACUCAAAAGCUCCACUCUUUAGGGAAACAGUAGUUGCCAACCAAAACCGCUGCAGAGAGGUCAAGUUCCUGAGGAAAAGGGUAUUCCGAGGAACCGCCCAGGACAUCCUGAAUCUCUAUCUUAAACAACUAUUUUCUUUUAGUGAGAAGUCUUUGCUCUUUUUUUCCCAUAGUGCAUGAGUCUACAGAAAUUCAAGAUUGUCUGCCUUUUAUUUUAAAACCUUUACUGAAUUUGCCAGUUUCCAGAAGAGAGACUUCCUUUCCAAACCAUCCUAAAGAUAUAAAAUUAUACCUGGAUGAAAAGGACUGUUACUUCAAAAGAAGAGAAUGCAAGCUGAUCUAUUUACUCCGGGCAGAGAAGAAUGAAGCAAGGGCGCCCAGGUGCUACAAGAAAACAUUCGGGAUAUGGAGCACGGCCAAGAUCACAGUCCACCUGAGU